rnacentral:rRNA from 1 species
UACGAAGGUGGCAAGCGUUGUUCGGAAUUACUGGGCGUAAAGGGCUCGUAGGCGGCCAACUAAGUCGGAUGUGAAAUCCCCAGGCUCAACUUGGGAACUGCAUCCGAUACUGGAUGGCUUGAAUUCGGGAGAGGGAUGCAGAAUUCCAGGUGUAGCGGUGAAAUGCGUAGAUAUCUGGAGGAAUACCGGUGGCGAAGGCGGCAUCCUGGACCGACAUUGACGCUGAGGAGCGAAAGCUAGGGGAGCAAACGGG